rnacentral:lncRNA from 1 species
UCCUGGAUUUCCCAUCCCACAGAACAUUCCGGAAUUCCGCCAUUCCCGUUUUCCCGCUCUCACAAUGAUGAGCUGAUCCCAGGAGCUUUCCCGGCUUUUCCUGGGAGCUUUUCCAGAGGGAGCCAACGGGGCCGGGAGCUCCUGCAGCGGCCUGGGAAAGGAAGAAAUGGGAAAAUCAAUGGGAAAAAAUCAGGGAAAAAAUCAGGGAAAAAUCAGGGGAAAGUGGGAAUAAUCAGGGAAAAACAUGAGGGGGAAAUGGGAAAAAUCAGGGAAAAAAAUCAGGGAAAAAUGGGAAAAUUUGGGGAAAAAGCAGGGGAAAAAUCGGGGAAAAAUGGGAAAAAAUCAGGGAAAACCAUGGGGGGAAAAUGGAAAAAGUCAGGAGAAAAAUCAGGGAAAAAUUACGAAAAAAACAGGGAAAAAUCAAGGAAAAAUCAGGGGAAAAAUCAGGGAAAAAUGGGAAAAGUCAGGGAAAAAAUCAAGGGAAAAAUCAAGGGAAAAAUCAGGGGGAAAUCAGGGGGAAAACGGGAAAAAUCAGGGGAAAUUCAGGGAAAAAAUCAGGGAAAAAUCAGGAGAAAAAUCAAGGGGAAAAUGGAAAAGAUUAGGGAAAAAUUAGGGAAAAAUCAGGGAAAAAAUCAGGGAAAAAAUCAGGGAAAAAANGAACAGCAUCCCACAGGAUGGGCAGUGCCGAGGGGACAGGGAAUGCUGCCCUGCAUCCUGGGAAAAAUGGGGAAAAAUGGGAAUGUGGGAAUGGAACAGCAUCCCACAGGAUGGGCAGUGCCGAGGGGACAGGGAAUGCUGCCCUGCAUCCUGGGAAAAACGGGAAUGUGGGAAUGGAACAGCAUCCCACAGGAUCCACACUGCCGAGGGGACAGGGAAUGCUGGCCGGCAUCCUGGGAAUGGGGAAAAACGGGAAUGUGGGAAUGGAACAGCAUCCCACAGGAUGGGCACUGCCGAGGGCACAGGGAAUGCUGGCCUGCAUCCUGUGGGAAUAUCGGGAAUUCUGGGAAUUCUGGGAAUGGAACAG